CCUACGGGCGGCAGCAGUGAGGAAUAUUGGUCAAUGGGCGCGAGCCUGAACCAGCCAAGUCGCGUGAAGGAUGACUGCCCUACGGGUGGUAAACUUCUUUUAUAAGGGAAUAAAGUGAGGCACGUGUGCCUUUUUGUAUGUACUUUAUGACUAAGGAUCGGCUAACUCCGUGCGAGCAGCCGCGGUAAUACGGAGGAUCCGAGCGUUAUCCGGAUUUAUUGGGGUUAAAGGGAGCGUAGAUGGGAUGUUAAGUCAGAUGUGAAAGUUUGCGGCUCAACCGUAAAAUUGCAAUUGAUACUGGGAGGCUUGAGUACAGUAGAGGUAGGCGGAAUUCGUGGUGUAGCGGUGAAAUGCGUAGAUAUCACGAAGAACUCCGAUGGCGAAGGCAGCUUACUAAACUGCCACUGACAUUGAGGCUCGAAAGUGUGGGGAUCAAACAGGAUUAGAUACCCGUGUAGUC
rnacentral:rRNA from 1 species